rnacentral:rRNA from 1 species
UACGUAGGGCGCAAGCGUUGUCCGGAAUUAUUGGGCGUAAAGAGCUCGUAGGCGGUUUGUCGCGUCUGCUGUGAAAGUUCGAGGCUCAACCUCGAAUCUGCAGUGGGUACGGGCAAACUAGAGUGUGGUAGGGGAGACUGGAAUUCCUGGUGUAGCGGUGGAAUGCGCAGAUAUCAGGAGGAACACCAAUGGCGAAGGCAGGUCUCUGGGCCAUAACUGACGCUGAGGAGCGAAAGCAUGGGGAGCGAACAGG